GACAGAGGGUGCAAACGUUGUUCGGAAUUACUGGGCGUAAAGCGCGUGUAGGCUGCUUGGAAAGUCGGAUGUGAAAGCCCUGGGCUCAACCCAGGAAGUGCAUUCGAAACUUCCGAGCUCGAGUUCUGGAGAGGAUAGCGGAAUUCUCGGUGUAGAGGUGAAAUUCGUAGAUAUCGAGAGGAACACCGGUGGCGAAGGCGGCUAUCUGGCCUGUAACUGACGCUGAGGCGCGAAAGCGUGGGGAGCAAACAGG
rnacentral:rRNA from 1 species